UACGUAGGAGACGAGCGUUGUCCGGAGUUACUGGGCGUAAAGGGUGCGCAGGCGGCCUUGCGCGUCGCGAGUGAAAAUCUCCCGGCUCAACUGGGAGGGUGGUCGCGAGACGGCAGGGCUUGAGGCUCGGUGAGGGGCGUGGAAUUCCGGGUGGAGCGGUGAAAUGCGUAGAGAUCCGGAGGAACACCGACGGCGUAGGCAGCGCCCUAGACGGAGACCUGACGCUCAGGCACGAAAGCGCGGGGAGCGAACAGGAUUAGAA
rnacentral:rRNA from 1 species